UUUCCGUAGGUGAACCUGCGGGAGGAUCAUUAGUGAAUUGAAUAUGAUAGCGGACCUCUUUGGUGUCCCGUGUAUCCACCCCUAUCUAUAACACCUCACCACUGUAAGUCUGUCUUGAAAACGAAAGUGAUUAACGCGCCUGCCCAUUUUAUACACACUUUAUGCACACAAACGCAGUCUUCUUAUAAUCUACUAAAGCUUUAAACAACGUAUUUCUUGUCUCUCGCUUCGCUGAAGAACGCAGCCGAUCAAAAGGUCAUACGUCAGAAUUCCAAUACC
rnacentral:misc_RNA from 1 species